AUUGAACGCCGGCGGCAUGCUUUACACAUGCAAGUCGAGCGGCAGCGCGGGGGCAACCCUGGCGGCGAGCGGCGAACGGGUGAGUAAUGCAUCGGAACGUACCCUGGAGUGGGGGAUAACGCCGCGAAAGCGGCGCUAAUACCGCAUAUGCUCUGAGGAGGAAAGUGGGGGACCGCAAGGCCUCACGCUCUGGGAGCGGCCGAUGUCCGAUUAGCUAGUUGGUGGGGUAAAGGCUUACCAAGGCGACGAUCGGUAGCUGGUCUGAGAGGAUGAUCAGCCACACUGGGACUGAGACACGGCCCAGACUCCUACGGGAGGCAGCAGUGGGGAAUUUUGGACAAUGGGGGCAACCCUGAUCCAGCCAUGCCGCGUGAGUGAAGAAGGCCUUCGGGUUGUAAAGCUCUUUUGGUCGGGAAGAAAGUGCCCUGCUUAAUACGCGGGGUAUUUGACGGUACCGGCAGAAUAAGCACCGGCUAACUACGUGCCAGCCGCCGCCGUAAUAC
rnacentral:rRNA from 1 species